rnacentral:rRNA from 1 species
ACUUUUAGUUAACGAAGUGGUUGAUGCCAUGCUUCCAAGAAAAGCUUCUAAGCUUCAGGUAACCAGGAACCGUACCCCAAACCGACACAGGUGGUUGGGUAGAGAAUACCAAGGCGCUUGAGAGAACUCGGGUGAAGGAACUAGGCAAAAUGGCACCGUAACUUCGGGAGAAGGUGCGCCGGUGAGGGUGAAGGACUUGCUCCGUAAGCCCAUGCCGGUCGAAGAUACCAGGCCGCUGCGACUGUUUAUUAAAAACACAGCACUCUGCAAACACGAAAGUGGACGUAUAGGGUGUGACGCCUGCCCGGUGCCGGAAGGUUAAUUGAUGGGGUUAGCUAACGCGAAGCUCUUGAUCGAAGCCCCGGUAAACGGCGGCCGUAACAAUAACGGUCCUAAGGUAGCGAAAUUCCUUGUCAGGUAAGUUCUGACCCGCACGAAAGGCGUAACGAUCCGGACGCUGUCUCGGCUAUAGACUCGGUGAAAUCUUAGUACCUGUGAAGAUGCAGGUUACCUGCGAUUAGACGGAAAGACCCCGUGGAGCUUUACUACAACUUGAUAUUGAAUUUUGGUGUAGUUUGUACAGCAUAGGUGGGAGACGUUGAUAUGCAUACGCUAGUAGGCAUGGAGUCACCAUUGGGAUACCACCCUUGCUAUAUUGAAAUUCUAACUUGAGACCAUAAUCUGGUCUAAGGACAGUGUCUGGUGGGUAGUUUGACUGGGGCGGUCUCCUCCUAAAGAGUAACGGAGGAGUACGAAGGUGCGCUCAGACCGGUCGGAAAUCGGUCGUAGAGUAUAAAGGCAAAAGCGCGCUUGACUGCGAGACAGACACGUCGAGCAGGUACGAAAGUAGGUCUUAGUGAUCCGGUGGUUCUGUAUGGAAGGGCCAUCGCUCAACGGAUAAAAGGUACUCCGGGGAUAACAGGCUGAUACCGCCCAAGAGUUCAUAUCGACGGCGGUGUUUGGCACCUCGAUGUCGGCUCAUCACAUCCUGGGGCUGAAGCCGGUCCCAAGGGUAUGGCUGUUCGCCAUUUAAAGUGGUACGCGAGCUGGGUUUAGAACGUCGUGAGACAGUUCGGUCCCUAUCUGCCGUGGACGUUUGAGAUUUGAGAGGGGCUGCUCCUAGUACGAGAGGACCGGAGUGGACGAACCUCUGGUGUUCCGGUUGUCACGCCAGUGGCAUUGCCGGGUAGCUAUGUUCGGAAUAGAUAACCGCUGAAAGCAUCUAAGCGGGAAACUAGCCUCAAGAUGAGAUCUCACUGGGACCUUGAGUCCCCUGAAGGGCCGUCGAAGACUACGACGUUGAUAGGUUGGGUGUGUAAGCGCUGUGAGGCGUUGAGCUAACCAAUACUAAUUGCCCGUGAGGCUUGACC